UACGAAGGGGGCUAACGUUGCUCGGAAUCACUGGGCGUAAAGCGCACGUAGGCGGAUUGUUAAGUCAGGGGUGAAAUCCUGGAGCUCAACUCCAGAACUGCCUUUGAUACUGGCGAUCUUGAGUCCGGGAGAGGUGAGUGGAACUGCGAGUGUAGAGGUGAAAUUCGUAGAUAUUCGCAAGAACACCAGUGGCGAAGGCGGCUCACUGGCCCGGUACUGACGCUGAGGUGCGAAAGCGUGGGGAGCAAACAGG
rnacentral:rRNA from 1 species